UUUCCGUAGGUGAACCUGCGGAAGGAUCAUUAUUGUAUAACCGAGGUGCGAGGGCUGUCGCUGACCCGAAAGGUCGUGCACGCCCGAGUGCCCUCACACACAUCCAUCUCACCCCUAUGUGCACCACCGCGCGGGUCCCCCUUUGGCUUGUUCGGAGGGGGGCUUACGUUUUCACACAAACUUUGUAUGCAGUGUAGAAUGUAUUUUUUGUUUUUGCGAUCACGCAAUCAAUACAACUUUCAACAACGGAUCUCUUGGCUCUCGCAUCGAUGAAGAACACAGC
rnacentral:misc_RNA from 1 species